CCCUUAGAUGUCCUGGGCCGCACGCGCGCUACACUGAGUGUCUGAGAUACGAGUCUGCCUGGUCCGGCAAGGUCUAGGUAAUCGCUAAAAGACACAUCAUGCUUGGGAUAGAUUAUUGCAAAUAUUAAUCUUGAACGAGGAAUUCCUAGUAAGCGCAAGUCAACAGCUUGCGUUGAUUACGUCCCUGCCCUUUGUACACACCGCCCGUCGCUACUACUGAUUGGAUGCUUAAGCGAGGUUCUCGAACUGCUAGCGACUUAGCUUCGGUGAGGUCGCAGUGUGGGAAGUGAACCUAGCUUUGGUGUCUAGAGGAAGUAAAAGUCGUAACA
rnacentral:rRNA from 1 species